rnacentral:rRNA from 1 species
UAGGGAAUCUUCCACAAUGGGCGCAAGCCUGAUGGAGCAACACCGCGUGAGUGAAGAAGGGUUUCGGCUCGUAAAGCUCUGUUGUUGAAGAAGAACGUGCGUGAGAGUAACUGUUCACGCAGUGACGGUAUUCAACCAGAAAGUCACGGCUAACUACGUGCCAGCAGCCGCGGUAAUACGUAGGUGGCAAGCGUUAUCCGGAUUUAUUGGGCGUAAAGCGGGCGCAGGCGGUUACUUAGGUCUGAUGUGAAAGCCUUCGGCUUAACCGAAGAAGUGCAUCGGAAACCGGGCGACUUGAGUGCAGAAGAGGACAGUGGAACUCCAUGUGUAGCGGUGGAAUGCGUAGAUAUAUGGAAGAACACCAGUGGCGAAGGCGGCUGUCUGGUCUGCAACUGACGCUGAGGCUCGAAAGCAUGGGUAGCGAACAGGAUUAGAUACCCUGGUAGUCCAUGCCGUAAACGAUGAGUGCUAGGUGUUGGAGGGUUUCCGCCCUUCAGUGCCGGAGCUAACGCAUUAAGCACUCCGCCUGGGGAGUACGACCGCAAGGUUG